GCCUCGCUGGCUCAGUCAGUGGAGCAUUAGACUCUUGAUCUCAGGGUUGUGAGUUUGAGCCCCAUGUUGGGCA
rnacentral:tRNA from 1 species